AUUGAACGCUGGCGGCAGGCCUAACACAUGCAAGUCGAACGAGUGGCGGACGGGUGAGUAAUGUCUGGGCAACUGCCUGAUGGCGGGGGAUAACUACUGGAAACGGUAGCUAAUACCGCAUACCAUCAGAUGUGCCCAGAUGGGUUUAGCUUGUUGGUGGGGUAACGGCUCACUAAGGCGACGAUCCCUAGCUGGUCUGAGAGGAUGACCAGCAACACUGGAACGGCGACACGGUCCAGACUCCUACGGGAGGCAGCGGUGGGGAAUAUGGCACAAGGGGCGCAAGCCUGAUGCAGCCAUGCCGCGGGGAUGAAGAAGGCCUUCGGGUUGUAAAGUACUUUCAGCGGGGAGGCGUUACCCGCAGAAGAAGCACCGGCUAACUACGUGCCAGCAGCCGCGGUAAUAC
rnacentral:rRNA from 1 species